rnacentral:tRNA from 1 species
GUUCUGGUAGCUUAAAUCAUUAAAGCCCUGGCUUUGUAAACCAAAGACGAGAUGUGCUCUCCCAGAACA